UACGUAGGGUGCGAGCGUUGUCCGGAAUUAUUGGGCGUAAAGAGCUCGUAGGCGGUCUGUCGCGUCGAUCGUGAAAAACUUGGGGCUUAACCCUGAGCUUGCGGUCGAUACGGGCAUGGACUGGAGUUCGGCAGGGGAGACUGGAAUUCCUGGCGUAGCGGUGAAAUGCGCAGAUAUCAGGAGGAACACCGGUGGCGAAGGCGGGUCUCGUGGGCCGAUACUGACGCUGAGGAGCGAAAGCGUGGGGAGCGAACGG
rnacentral:rRNA from 1 species